rnacentral:rRNA from 1 species
GAUUGAACGCUGGCGGCAUGCUUUACACAUGCAGGUCGAACGGUAACCGGCCUUCGGGUGCUGACGAGUGGCGAACGGGUGAGUAAUGCAUCGGAACGUACCCAGAGGUGGGGGAUAACGCAGCGAAAGCUGUGCUAAUACCGCAUGUGAUCUGAGGAUGAAAGCGGGGGACCGAGCAGCAAUGUUUGGCCUCGCGCCUUUGGAGCGGCCGAUGUCGGAUUAGCUAGUUGGUGGGGUAAAGGCCUACCAAGGCGACGAUCCGUAGCUGGUCUGAGAGGACGACCAGCCACACUGGGACUGAGACACGGCCCAGACUCCUACGGGAGGCAGCAGUGGGGAAUUUUGGACAAUGGGCGCAAGCCUGAUCCAGCAAUGCCGCGUGCGGGAAGAAGGCCUUCGGGUUGUAAACCGCUUUUGGCAGGAACGAAACGGUGUCCGCUAAUACCGGGCGCUAAUGACGGUACCUGCAGAAUAAGCACCGGCUAACUACGUG